rnacentral:misc_RNA from 1 species
AAAUAGUAAAUAGAUAAAAGAAGUAGCUACGCACGAGGUUAAUAUUCUUGAACAUUAAAAAAAUGAACGAUUUGGCGUUCUUCUUUUUUGGAUUAUCCCGUUCGGAUAUGGAAUCUCUUCCCGUGCUUUUUCGAAAAAUUGCAAAUGGACAUACAAGGACAACGAGUUCGGUCAAGAAGGGAGUAUGUUAACAAUCUGGAUCACUUUGACGCUCUAUUUAAGCAUUGGCUAUGCAGCAAAUCGUGACGUUAGGUUAAAGGUUAAUUGUUCGACCUUGCUUAACAAGAAGCUGUUCCAUCUUCAUUCAAAUCUGUGGAAUGUGUCCAAGUCAAGCGAGGUUUACCUUAAGGAAAGUGUCUUCUUGACCACUUUUGAAACAAGAUGUUCGAAUGAGAGGUGCUUAACACGGACAUCCAUGGCAAAACAUGUUCCAGUACCUAAAGUUUGUCCAAAAGGGUGGAAAUCGAGAAAGGGGAGUUGUUAUCAAGUGUUUUCGGGAAAGGUGAACUGGUUCCAAGCCCAGGAAAAGAAGGACAAUGGAUGUGGUUCUCAUCCGGAAAAACCGCAGCCUAUCUCCCUUGGUUCAGUGGUGAACCAAACAAUCACAACUCAAUUGAACACUGUGCUGUAAUAUUUAAUAAUGGCAAUGAAAAAUGGAACGAUACAAAAUGUCAC